UGGGGAAUUUUGGACAAUGGGCGAAAGCCUGAUCCAGCAAUGCCGCGUGUGUGAAGAAGGCCUUCGGGUUGUAAAGCACUUUUGUCCGGAAAGAAAUGGCUCUGGUUAAUACCUGGGGUGGAUGACGGUACCGGAAGAAUAAGGACCGGCUAACUACGUGCCAGCAGCCGCGGUAAUACGUAGGGUCCAAGCGUUAAUCGGAAUUACUGGGCGUAAAGCGUGCGCAGGCGGUUGUGCAAGACCGAUGUGAAAUCCCCGAGCUUAACUUGGGAAUUGCAUUGGUGACUGCACGGCUAGAGUGUGUCAGAGGGGGGUAGAAUUCCACGUGUAGCAGUGAAAUGCGUAGAGAUGUGGAGGAAUACCGAUGGCGAAGGCAGCCCCCUGGGAUAACACUGACGCUCAUGCACGAAAGCGUGGGGAGCAAACAGG
rnacentral:rRNA from 1 species